rnacentral:tRNA from 1 species
CCCGCCGUAGCUCAGCCCGGUUUAGAGCGCCCGGCUGUAGAUUGGCGCUGGUGGUGACCGGGUGGUCCGGGGUUCAAGUCCCCGCGGCGGGA